GACGAACGCUGGCGGCAGGCUUAACACAUGCAAGUCGAACGGGUGUAGCAAUACAUCAGUGGCAGACGGGUGAGUAACACGUGGGAACCUUCCUAGAGGUACGGAACAACUCAGGGAAACUUGAGCUAAUACCGCAUAAUCCACAUUGGGAAAGCGCGCUGCGCUUUGAGAUGAGCCCAUGGCUGAUUAGCUAGUUGGUGGGGUAACGGCCCACCAAGGCGACGAUCAGUAGCUGGUCUGAGAGGAUGAUCAGCCACACUGGAACUGAGACACGGUCCAGACUCCUACGGGAGGCAGCAGUGGGGAAUCUUGCGCAAUGGGGGCAACCCUGACGCAGCCAUACCGCGUGUGUGAUGAAGGUCUUCGGAUUGUAAAGCACUUUCAGUAGGGACGACGAUGACGGUACCUACAGAAGAAGUCACGGCUAACUUCGUGCCAGCCGCCGCGGUAAGAC
rnacentral:rRNA from 1 species